rnacentral:rRNA from 1 species
UGGAAGUAAAAGUCGUAACAAGGUUUUCGUAGGUGAACAUGUAGAAGGAUCAUUGUUGAUGCUCAUCAGAACAAGACAGAUGGAAGCAAACUUGUGAAUCCUCGUUCUCCGGCACUCAGCAUGUGUUGGGAAACGACGAACCAAAUCCCGGCCCAAGACCGCCAAGCAACUCAGGAAGCUUUGAUUGCGACAUCCCCUUCCCUAUCGGGCUGGUGGGCACGCAUCGAACACUCACAAUUCAGUAUGAUUCUCAGCAAUGGAUAUCUCGGCUCUCGCAUAGAUGAAGAACAUAGCGAAAUGUGAUACUUGGUGUGAAUUGCAGAAUCUCGUGAACCAUUGAGUCUUUGAACUCAAGUUGAGCAUAAGGCCUUUUGGUUGAGGGCACAUAUGCUUGGUCAUUAAACAACUCGUCUCCCACCACCUUAUCCCUACACACUUCUUGCAAGGACACUGGCUUAGAUGAGGGUAGAUUGGGUGGAGUUUGGUUGUCUGUGUGCCUGAAGCGAAUGUGGAUGGCUAAAAAGCCUGGGCCAUGGGCUGUGUGUGGCUUAACUAGUGGUUGUUGUGCGCCCUCUCAAGGCCACAAUUGUCAGCAAGUUGUGCCGUUCACUUCUGCCCCAGCAAGUACCCAACACAAUCGAAACAUCCAAUCCAUGGAUCGACUCAAAUUGCAACCCCAAGUCAGGUAGGACUACCCACCGAGCUUAAGCAUAUGAAUAAGCGGAG